CGGGGCCAGGGGCCGGAAGUGGCUCGGGGGACUGACGCGAGCGGGAGUGGAGUUCUUGACGCAGCGACCUGGGGACAAAGUGGGUGGCGGCCUCGUCUCCGUCCCCGCCAAGUCCCAUCCCCCCGCCUUCUCGCCGCCUCAGCCUCCCGGGACGAUGGUGGCCCGCCUGCUGCUGCUGCGCGCCUGGCCCCGGGGCCCUGCAGUUGGCCCGGGAUCCCUGUGUCGGCCCCUUAGCUCAGGCUCGGGGUCCCGCGAGUACCUGCAGCGCAGCAUCGUGCCCACUAUGCACUUCCAGGACAGCCUGCCCAGGCUGCCUAUUCCCAAGCUUGAAGACACCAUGAAGAGAUACCUGUGUGCGCAGAAGCCUCUCUUAGAUGAUGACCAGUUCAGAAAAACAGAACAGCAUUGCAAGAGUUUUGAGAACGGGAUUGGGAAGGAGCUGCACAAGCAGCUGGUUGCUCGGGACAAGCGGAAUAGACACACGAGCUACAUUUCCGACCCCUGGUUUGAUAUGUACCUAACUGCUCGAGACUCUAUCGUCUUGAACUUCAAUCCAUUCGUGGCAUUCAACCCUGACCCAAAGUCUGAGUAUAAUGACCAGCUCACCAGGGCCACGAACAUGACUAUUUCUGCCGUCCGGUUUCUGAAGACUCUGCGGGCUGGUCUUUUGGAGCCAGAGGUUUUCCAUUUGAACCCUGCCAAAAGUGACACUGAUACCUUCAAGAGACUCAUACGCUUUGUGCCUUCCUCCCUGUCCUGGUAUGGGGCCUACCUGGUUAAUGCAUAUCCCCUGGAUAUGUCCCAGUAUUUUCGGCUUUUCAAUUCAACUCGUUUACCCAGACGCACUCGGGAUGUACUUGUCACUGAUGAGAAGGCCAGGCACCUCCUGGUCCUAAGAAAAGGACAUUUCUAUGUUUUUGAUGUCCUGGAUCACGAUGGAAACAUCGUGAGUGCCUCGGAAAUCCAGGCUCACCUGAAGUACAUUCUCUCAGACAACAGCCCGGCCCCCGAGUUUCCGCUGGCGUAUCUGACCACUGAGAACCGAGACGUGUGGGCAGAGCUCAGGCAGAAGCUGGUGAGUGAGGGCAAUGAGGAGACGCUGAGGAAAGUGGACUCCGCUGUGUUCUGUCUCUGCCUGGAUGACUUCCCCAUCGAGGGCCUUGUCCACUUGUCUCACAGCAUGCUACACGGCGAUGGCACCAACCGCUGGUAUGAUAAGUCCUUUAACCUCAUUAUAGCCAAGGAUGGCACUGCCGCCUUGCACUUCGAGCAUGCUUGGGGCGACGGGGUGGCAGUGCUGAGGUUUUUGAACGAAGUGUUUAAAGACAGCACUCAGGCCCCUGCCAUCAGCCCACAGAAUCAGCCGGCCCGCACUGACUCCUCUGCGGCCGUGCAGAAACUUACCUUCAAGUUGAGUGAUGCCCUCAAGACUGGCAUCAGCACUGCGAAGGAGAGGUUUGAUGCCAUUGUGAAGACCCUCACCAUUGACUUCAUCCAGUUUCACAGAGGGGGCAAGGAGUUCUUAAAGAAGCAGAGGCUGAGUCCUGACUCGGUAGCCCAGCUGGCCUUCCAGAUGGCCUUCCUGCGGCAGUAUGGGCAGACCGUGGCCACCUAUGAGUCCUGCAGCACCGCAGCCUUCAAGCACGGCCGCACCGAGACCAUUAGGCCAGCCUCCAUCUUCACGAAGAGGUGUUCCGAGGCCUUUGUCAGGGAGCCCUCCCAACACAGCGUUGGCGAGCUUCAGCAGAUGAUGGCUGAGUGCUCCAAGUAUCAUGGCCAGCUGACCAGAGAAGCCGCCAUGGGCCAGGGCUUUGACCGACACUUAUUUGCUCUGCGGUACCUGGCAGCAGCCAAGGGGACUGCUCUGCCUGAGCUCUACCUGGACCCGGCAUAUGGGCAGAUAAACCACAACAUCCUGUCCACGAGCACCCUGAGCAGCCCAGCAGUGAACGUCGGUGGCUUUGCCCCUGUGGUCCCUGAUGGCUUUGGCAUUGGUUGCUGUUGCUGUCCAGCCUACUUUCCUAAUCCCCACAAAGAACUUUCUAACAUUAAGUUCGGUACCAGGUUCCCUGUAUUCCAUGGUUUAAUCCGAGCGGAACAUCUGAUAGCUGCCAGUGCACGUGAACAUCACGUUGUUCUCAUCUGUGAAGCACGAUCAAGAAAACCUGAUCAAGAAACCUGAACCAGAUGUUGGUUGCGCAUGCGCGCGUUCGUCACCCGGAAGCACUAGCCGGGGCCCCGCCCCGCCGCCUGUAUAGCUGCCCUGGUGCUGCGCUUCUUGCACUCCCACUCUUAGCUCCUACUAGUGCCUACCUUAUGCUCUCAGCUGCAGAACGACACUGUGGGGUUUGUCCACCUGUGCAGACUCAGGAAAUGGUUGACAAGGCGACAGGCAAGUCCAAAGGGCACUGGGUGGGACCUCAAGCGCAAGGAAGAGUAGUGGUGAUCAGGGGUAUCCUCAGCUCACCCUGACCCUGACUGGACUACUUCACACAUUUCAUUUGCUCUACAUUUUCUAUAAAUCUACUUUGUGAGGGGAUCCUCAGCCCCAGGGAACCAGGCCUACGAGAUUUACAGGGCCCUGACUCCUGUCUUCAGACCUCCACAGGGCUGUCCAGGGGCAGAACAUGGAAGCGUGACCACAAAGGUGACAAACCAGGACAAGCAGCUUUAGGGAGCAAAGAUGCUGACUUGGCAGAAGGAAGAACUUUCCUAUUGAUUCCCCUGGUGGGAGAUGAUUGCCCCAUCACAGCAAAUGGACAAAGACUUGAUGACUGUCCAGCAGGAACUUCACAGAGCAGAUUCAUGCCAGUACUGGGCUGCUGCCUCUAAAGUCCCUGCUAGCCCUGGACUAUGAAGUGACACCAGCUAGAAAUGCCUGGGUUUGCUUGGGAGCCAAGGUGAUCAAUGUAGUGUUUUGGCUCAGGACCAUGGGGCUCAUGGCAUCGUUCCACAGGCCUAGCUGCUCUUUGCACUGUUGGCUUUGACACCAUAGGUCCGUUGGGUUAACCUACCUGCUCCCCAAGAGCUGGAGAGCCCUCAGAAGCUAUGUGCUCCUGCAUAUUUUACAAAUUGGAUCCUCUACUGUGGGAAUGUGCCAGGAAGCAACCAGAGACUUCCAACAUGAAGUUCUUAUUUGUGGCUGGCAUUGCUGUUACCUGACUCUGCCUUCAUGCACCAGUGCAGUAUGAACAGGGGCUUUAUUGGUGGGACUUGGGAAGCUGUGACAGAGCCCAGCAUGCAGCGGUGAGGGCUUGGAUAACUUCCAGGAAACAAGG